rnacentral:rRNA from 1 species
GCCAUGCAUGUCUCAGUACAAGCCGCAUUAAGGCGAAACCGCGAAUGGCUCAUUAAAUCAGUUAUGGUUCCUUAGAUCUUACACUUUUUACAUGGAUAACUGUGGUAAUUCUAGAGCUAAUACAUGAAACUAGUACCCCGACUUUGCGGAAGGGGUGCUUUUAUUAGAACAAAACCAAUCGGUCGGCUUGUCCGUCCGUUGCCUUGGUGACUCUGAAUAACUUUGGGCUGAUCGCACGGUCCUAGCACCGGCGACGCAUCUUUCAAAUGUCUGCCUUAUCAACUGUCGAUGGUAGGUUCUGCGCCUACCAUGGUUGUAACGGGUGACGGGGAAUCAGGGUUCGAUUCCGGAGAGGGAGCCUGAGAAACGGCUACCACAUCCAAGGAAGGCAGCAGGCGCGCAAAUUACCCACUCCCGGCACGGGGAGGUAGUGACGAAAAAUAACGAUACGGGACUCAUCCGAGGCCCCGUAAUCGGAAUGAGAACACUUUAAAUCCUUUAACGAGGAUCUAUUGGAGGGCAAGUCUGGUGCCAGCAGCCGCGGUAAUUCCAGCUCCAAUAGCGUAUAUUAAAGUUGUUGCGGUUAAAAAGCUCGUAGUCGGAGGUGUGUCUCGGACGGUCGGGUUCGCCGCUUGUCGGUGCUCAACUGGCCGGUCCGGACGUCCUGCCGGUGGGGCUGUAAAAGGCUCCGUUAUCCUUCUUUGGUCCUCUUCAUCGAGUGCCUUGGUGGGCCGGCACGUUUACUUUGAACAAAUUAGAGUGCUCAAAGCAGGCCGUUGGUCGCCUGAAUACUGUGUGCAUGGAAUAAUAGAAUAGGACCUCGGUUCCAUUUUGUUGGUUUUCAGAACUCGAGGUAAUGAUUAAUAGGGACGGACGGGGGCAUUCGUAUUGCGACGUU